UAUAAUUUACUUUAAAUAGUCCAAAAAACUCUUUGGCCUUUUAUAAUUGUGAUUUUGUUUAAUACAUAUUUUCGUUUUUUAGCAAAUUUGUGUAAUAAAAGGAACCUUGUUCACAAUUGGUCGGAUGAUUUGAGUGCAGGUUUGUGUGUUUAAAUGGCUGAAGAAGUAGUUGGGAUAAUUUUGCCUGCUAUACUUGAACUUUUUAGUGGCUUGUUAAAGAGUGAAAAAAAAAUAUUUUCGAAAAAAAAAAAAUUAAAUGGACAUAAAGAGCAUGCAUAGUACUUGGCCAAAUCCUAUUAUUCGGAAGGAAUCAACCAACUAGAAAAGCGUUGGACGAAGCGUAUAAGCCUAAAAGCAGACUAGGUCGAAAAAGGUUUACCACAAACAAUUAAGUAGUUUUUAUUGCACGCAUUUUUCAAACGAGGUAAAGAAAGAAGUAAAGAACCUAUAGGAGGGAUGUGAAGUCUCUACGCGGGAAAGUGCUAUCAAUCAUAUUUUUCGUGUUCACUUCAAAGUAAUUUGCCAACGAUAUUUUUUGCUCUACAUUCAUUAAAAAAAAGAGUCUUACACAAAUGAAAUCAACUUUUUUUCCUGGUGUUUUAUGUAUGUAUGUAUGUAUCUACUUCGUUUCAUAAGAUAUGCGCAUGUUUAUAGAUGAUGAUAUGUGGUUUAUGAGAUUAAAUACCUAUGUAAAUUCCUACACUUAUGUAUGUACAAAUAUGUAUGCCAAUGCGUUGAUUAUGCAAUACUAUUACUUUUAUUUUUGUUUUUGUAUAUUAUUGGAUUAGUCACAAGAUAAAGUGUAAGGAAGAGAGCGUAAACACACAAGCCACAACCCAGUUACUUAAUAAGAGAGAAGAAGUACAUACCGUUAUUAUAGUAGAUUAGAAUAGGCGCAUACAAUCUGGCAUACAUACUUAUUUAUUUAGUACAAACUAAAAACCAACACCCAAUUAUUUGAUUAGUAUACAUACAUAUUUUUAAUUCACAAAUUCAACUCGUACAAUUUUAAUACAAUUUUUACGUAUUGAAUAUUCAUUAAUAUUAAUAAUAUUCUUAUUAUUACCCUCUUCCUCUGCAAUCGCGUUUGUGCAACAAGUUUAAUAGAGCGAUAAAUGGUGUACUCGUUAAGGUU